rnacentral:snRNA from 1 species
GGAUGUGAGGGCGAUCUGGCUGCGACAUCUGUCACCCCAUUGAUCGCCAGGGUUGAUUCGGCUGAUCUGGCUGGCUAGGCGGGGGGGCCCCUCCUCCCCCCA